GGAGGAUGUGCAGUGGAAGGAGUGUGGGCGCUGUUGUUUAGGGGUGAAAUAGACAUCUCCAGAGGGGAAGGAACUCCCUAUCUGUAUUCUAAAGCUACUGGAAUGCAUUUGGUGACACAGCGACAGUGACUGUGCCAGAACGGAAGUGGUGGUGGGCUUGGCACAGCAUCUGCAUCGUCAGCACAGCACACAAAUGGCUCAGAGAAGGGACGGACAUCUUGGUUCUGGAGUUGCAGUAGUUUUGGACCAAGGUCAAUUUCAGGAAACUGAAGCCAUGUAAAUCGGGAUGUCAGGAAUUGGGGACUGUUGCAAUGUAUUUAGAAAGCACCUGCCCGACUUAUGACUUUCUUCAUCACUAUAAAAACUUCAUCAGACUGUCACCAUCUUGGAUCAUGGAAUUUGGAGUGGCUUAAAUCUAUGUUCUCUGGCUUUCGUCACUCAUGGUUGGCUCUAUAAUAAACGAUUUCUCAUCUC